AAUGUCGCAGAGGGAGCAGCAGCCGGCGGAUGGACCGGCGUCGUCGCCGCUGGUCGCGGUCGCCAUCGACAGGGACAAGAACAGCCAGGGCGCGUUCAGGUGGGCUCUGGACAACGUCGUCACCAGAGGCCAAACCCUCACCCUCGUCCAUGUCAACACCAAGCCCUCAACGGGGUCCGAAGACGCCGCCAACAUCAUCAAGGAAGUGUUUGUUCCCUUCCGAUGUUUCUGCACACGCAAGAAUGUGCAGUGCAACGAUGUCAUACUCGACGACACCGACGUUGCCAAGGCUAUCGUAGAGUUUGUGUUGAGAUCUGCAGUCGGGAAGCUUGUGAUUGGCUCAUCACCGAAAGGAGGAUUCGUCAGAUCGUUCAGAAGCACAGACACCAGCAGCAGUAUCUCCAAGGGCGUGCCUGAUUUCUGCACUGUCUUCAUCAUCUCCAAGGGGAAGGUCUCUUCCAUGAGGAACGCUGCCCGGCCACCGCCGACCAGUGCUCUUAUCCGGGCGCAGAUCCAAAGCCAACCAACUGCUCGACCCGAUCCACUGGACUACAAUAACAGGAAUAAUGUCAUGAGAGUGCCAUAUGAGGCUGCAUUUGCUGCACGGACUCUGUACAAAGACAACGAAUCGAUCAAGUCGCCCUUUACCAGGGGAACGCGUGCCACGAAAUCGUAUGGGGAGAUGAUGAUGGACAGCGAUAUCUCAUUUGUGAGCAAUGGCAGGCCAAGCUUCGACCGCGGCUACCCACCGAGACUGUCGAACAUGUCCGACGCCUUGGAUCGUAGUUUCGAGUCACCUCGCAAGUCGGUGGGUGGGUACUCGUCCUCGAACGGCGUCUCUUCCCUGUCCUAUGAGAGCUCAUCAUCUCCCGCUAUGGACGAAGUGGAAGCAGAGAUCAGGAGGCUAAGGUUAGAACUGAAGCAGACCAUGGACAUGUACAGCACAGCCUGCAAAGAAGCACUUACGGCAAAACAAAAGGCAAUGGAGCUGCAGCGCUGGAAGACGGAGGAAGGGAAGAGACUGGAGGAAGCUCGGCUGUCGGAAGAAGCCGCUCUGGCCUUGGCGGAGAGGGAGAAAGCGAAGCGAAUGGCCGCCAUCGAGACGGCUGAAGCGUCGAAAAGGAUUGCAGAGUUGGAAGCGCAGAAGCGGAUCAGUGCAGAGUUGCAGGCAGUGAAAGAGGCCGAGGAGAAGAUAAAGGCUUUCGAUGCGAUGUCGCACACAAAUCUCAGGUACCGGAGGUACACCAUCGAGGAGAUCGAAGUAGCCACCGAGAACUUCGCGGAGAACAGGAAGAUUGGAGAGGGUGGGUAUGGUCCUGUCUACAGAGGCACUCUGGAUCACACGCCUGUCGCCAUUAAGGUACUGCGUCCCGAUGCCGCUCAAGGAAGGUCACAGUUUCAGCAAGAGGUCGAGAUACUGUGCUGCAUUCGGCAUCCAAACAUGGUGCUGUUAUUGGGUGCUUGCCCGGAGUAUGGCUGCCUCGUGUACGAGUACAUGGCAAACGGGAGCUUGGAAGACCGUUUGUUCAGGCGGGGGAACACGCCGCCGAUUCCCUGGCAGCACAGGUUUCGGAUCGCCGCAGAGAUCGGCACCGGCCUCCUCUUUCUGCACCAGACGAAGCCGGAGCCGCUCGUCCACCGGGACCUCAAGCCCGCGAACAUCCUCCUCGACAGGAACUACGUGAGCAAGAUCAGCGACGUCGGCCUCGCCCGCCUGGUGCCGCCGUCGGUGGCGGACAACGUCACCCAGUACCGCAUGACGGCCACUGCCGGCACGUUCUGCUACAUCGACCCGGAGUACCAGCAGACGGGCAUGCUCGGCAUCAAGUCAGACGUCUACUCUAUGGGGAUCCUGCUGCUGCAGCUGGUGACCGGGAAGCCGCCCAUGGGGCUGACGCACUACGUGGAGCGUGCGAUCGAGAAGGGGACGUUCGAGGAGAUGUUAGAUGGCUCGGUGCCGGACUGGCCCGUCGAGGAUGCUCUAAGCUUGGCGAAGCUAGCGGUCAAGUGCGCGGAGCUCAGGCGGAAGGAUCGCCCGGAUCUUGCGACGGGCAUAUUGCCGGAGCUCAACAGGCUGAGAAAUCUCGCGGAGGAGAACAUGCAGUACUCUGUGCUACUGGGGUACAGCCCUCUCACCUCACCCAUGCAAAGCCAAGUCUCCACACAAGACUUCAUGAGUGCACCUUCAGCUCUGCAAUCCGGAUAUGAAAGCUCAAGAAGUCGGUAUAGUGGAUCAUCUGUGCCUGGAAGAACAUGAUUGGUGAGCAAUAUAUGGUAUAAAUUGAGGGUAAAAUCCUGGUUUUUUGUGUUAGUGGAAACAGAACAAAACUAAACAUGAGGAGGCAUUUCAACUCUCACUGCUUUCAUCUCUCCUUCUUGGAACCAGGCAAGGGAAUGAAUCACCUGUUACUGCAGUCGGAUGUAGAAACAGCUAGUUGAUGAUGAAGUACUGCUUCUGCCUCAUCUCUUGGUCAAGGAAGAUUUGUUUGUACUACUACUACACAUUGUUUCAGAAAGCAAAUGCAACUUAGGAACUUUGCACACAGCAGUGACAUGAGCAAGUUUGAUCAGCCCAGUGAUGAGGAAAGCCAUUUCUUACAUGAUAAUGUACCUGGGUCAUUGCAUCUGCAUGCCUACCUUUCUCAUCCCAUGGAUCAUAAGUUCAUGUAUAUUUCAUUCUUCCUUCUAAAUUAUGUAAGCUCCAUAGUUUCAUGCU